UAGUGUGCCGCAGCAAAAUAUUAAAAAUAAAUCUGAAGGCAUCCGUCAUAAUAUUAUAUAUAUAUUUUAUUGGUGUUGUUCGGGAGUGCGCACUUUUCAAAGUGCAUUGUUUUUAUUUUCUUUGGCCCUCUUGUUGGUUUUACAAGGAUAUUGUGUGUAAUCACGUGGCAACGACCACAGUACAGCACACAUCAACUGAUCUGCAACUGCAGAGGCCCUGCGCCAAAAAGGCGUGGCAACAACUUUGCAAAGGGAGUUGCACCAUACGCCUAGAUAUUUGCACUUGAGUCACCAGUUUGCUAAAACGGUUCCAGAAGGAACACCAGCGUCUGAUAAACCCUUUUGAGAGAGAACGGAUUAGCAUAGAGCUGAUCGUGGCCACUUCUCGUUACCAGUGUGGAAGUUGCGCCAUGCGCUGCUGAGGCUGCGCGUUUCGCAGACUCGUUGCUACGACUCGCUGCUAUGUGUUGCCGAGUCCGCACCACUCGUCGUCGCAUCCCUGAUUGGAAGUUGUGUUGACAGUGCGAUUGUCACUGGAGGCCACUGCUGAUUUUCGUUGAUGCUCCUGACGCCGCCGAUAGUGCUGUUGCACUCACUGCCGCCUUGAUUGCCGUUUCUUUUCUCGUAUACAAUUUUUCUUGUCCAUACAAAAUGUUCAACAAUAUAGCGUAAAUUCAAUUAAAAAUAGUAUUGAAAUAUAAUUCAUAUUUGAAUUUAAAUGUAAAUUUUAUAUUUAGUAUUAUAUUUUAAGUUAGAUAUAAUCCAAUAGUAAGUCCUCAGAUGGGUAUGGUAUGUAUAUAAUAUUAUAUCAAAGCUGUUAUAUAUUCUAAUCCUUUUUUGAAGUUCACCCAGCUCAUCAACUCAUCAAUCAUCACAGGCCUGUCGAUAUCGAUGCAGUAUAAAAAAAUCAGCGUAUAAUGAGUAUGUGUAAGUACGGCAUAGCCGCACAAAAAUCGUUUGUAACUUGUAUAUGACAGCUAUUAUUUUUGUUAUUAUUAUUCUUAUUAGUAUUAUAUUCAUACCCAUCCUAUUAGGGAAUACUAGACAAAAUUAAUAUAGUAGGCAAAUAAUGCAUAAAAUGAAGUUAUGUACAUGCAUUAUAGAAUAUUUGAAUUCUUUUGGUAUUAAUCUCUUGGAAUAAUCAUGAAGUCGAAAUAAAUUAUAAAGUAAUGGGCACCUGA